AGAGUUUGAUCCUGGCUCAGGGUGAACGCUAGCGACAGGCUUAACACAUGCAAGUCGAGGGGCAGCGGGGAGGUAGCAAUACUUCCGCCGGCGACCGGCGCACGGGUGAGUAACACGUAUGGAACCUGCCCGUAGCAGGGGGAUAAACGGAAGAAAUUCCGUCUAAUACCGCGUAAUAACUCCGAGAGGCAUCUCAUGGAGUUUAAAGGGUAACACCGGCUACGGAUGGCCAUGCGGCGCAUUAGCUAGUUGGCGGGGUAACGGCCCACCAAGGCGACGAUGCGUAGGGGUUCUGAGAGGAAGGUCCCCCACACUGGUACUGAGACACGGACCAGACUCCUACGGGAGGCAGCAGUGAGGAAUAUUGGUCAAUGGGCGCGAGCCUGAACCAGCCAAGUCGCGUGAGGGAAGACGGUCCUAUGGAUUGUAAACCUCUUUUGUCGGGGAGCAAAAGACGCCACGUGUGGCGUUCCGAGAGUACCCGAAGAAAAAGCAUCGGCUAACUCCGUGCCAGCAGCCGCGGUAAUACGGAGGAUGCGAGCGUUAUCCGGAUUUAUUGGGUUUAAAGGGUGCGCAGGCGGAAGAUCAAGUCAGCGGUAAAAUUGAGAGGCUCAACCUCUUCGAGCCGUUGAAACUGGUUUUCUUGAGUGAGCGAGAAGUAUGCGGAAUGCGUGGUGUAGCGGUGAAAUGCAUAGAUAUCACGCAGAACUCCGAUUGCGAAGGCAGCAUACCGGCGCUCAACUGACGCUCAUGCACGAAAGUGUGGGUAUCGAACAGGAUUAGAUACCCUGGUAGUCCACACAGUAAACGAUGAAUACUAAUUGUUCGGGGAGAAUGAUCCCUGAGUGAUACAGCGAAAGCGUUAAGUAUUCCACCUGGGGAGUACGCCGGCAACGGUGAAACUCAAAGGAAUUGACGGGGGCCCGCACAAGCGGAGGAACAUGUGGUUUAAUUCGAUGAUACGCGAGGAACCUUACCCGGGCUCAAACGACACAGGAAUACUUUUGAAAGGAGGUAGCUCUACGGAGUCUGUGUCGAGGUGCUGCAUGGUUGUCGUCAGCUCGUGCCGUGAGGUGUCGGCUUAAGUGCCAUAACGAGCGCAACCCCCAUCGCCAGUUACCAGCAAGUCAAGUUGGGGACUCUGGCGAGACUGCCGGCGCAAGCUGUGAGGAAGGCGGGGAUGACGUCAAAUCAGCACGGCCCUUACGUCCGGGGCGACACACGUGUUACAAUGGCAGGUACAGAGAGAAGCAAUGCGGCGACGCAAAGCGGAACUUGAAAGCCUGUCUCAGUUCGGAUUGGAGUCUGCAACUCGACUCCAUGAAGCUGGAUUCGCUAGUAAUCGCGCAUCAGCCAUGGCGCGGUGAAUACGUUCCCGGGCCUUGCACACACCGCCCGUCA
rnacentral:rRNA from 1 species